ACGAACGCUGGCGGCACGCUUAACACAUGCAAGUCGAACGAGAGAAGAGAAGCUUGCUUUUCUGAUCUAGUGGCGGACGGGUGAGUAACACGUGAGCAAUCUGCCUUUCAGAGGGGGAUACCGAUUGGAAACGAUCGUUAAUACCGCAUAACAUAAUUGAACCGCAUGAUUUGAUUAUCAAAGAUUUAUCGCUGAAAGAUGAGCUCGCGUCUGUUUAGCUAGUUGGUAAGGUAACGGCUUACCAAGGCGACGAUCAGUAGCCGGACUGAGAGGUUGAUCGGCCACAUUGGGACUGAGACACGGCCCAGACUCCUACGGGAGGCAGCAGUGGGGAAUAUUGCACAAUGGAGGAAACUCUGAUGCAGCGAUGCCGCGUGAGGGAAGAAGGUUUUAGGAUUGUAAACCUCUGUCUUCAGGGACGAAAAAAGACGGUACCUGAGGAGGAAGCUCCGGCUAACUACGUGCCAGCAGCCGCGGUAAUACGUAGGGAGCGAGCGUUGUCCGGAAUUACUGGGUGUAAAGGGAGCGUAGGCGGGAUCGCAAGUCAGAUGUGAAAACUAUGGGCUUAACCCAUAAACUGCAUUUGAAACUGUGGUUCUUGAGUGAAGUAGAGGUAAGCGGAAUUCCUAGUGUAGCGGUGAAAUGCGUAGAUAUUAGGAGGAACAUCAGUGGCGAAGGCGGCUUACUGGGCUUUAACUGACGCUGAGGCUCGAAAGCGUGGGGAGCAAACAGGAUUAGAUACCCUGGUAGUCCACGCCGUAAACGAUGAUUACUAGGUGUGGGGGGACUGACCCCUUCCGUGCCGCAGCAAACGCAAUAAGUAAUCCACCUGGGGAGUACGACCGCAAGGUUGAAACUCAAAGGAAUUGACGGGGGCCCGCACAAGCAGUGGAGUAUGUGGAUUAAUUCGAAGCAACGCGAAGAACCUUACCAGGUCUUGACAUCGUAUGCAUAGCUCAGAGAUGAGUGAAAUCUCUUCGGAGACAUAUAGACAGGUGGUGCAUGGUUGUCGUCAGCUCGUGUCGUGAGAUGUUGGGUUAAGUCCCGCAACGAGCGCAACCCUUACUGUUAGUUGCUACGCAAGAGCACUCUAGCAGGACUGCCGUUGACAAAACGGAGGAAGGUGGGGAUGACGUCAAAUCAUCAUGCCCCUUAUGACCUGGGCCUCACACGUACUACAAUGGCUGUCAACAGAGGGAUGCAAAGCCGCGAGGUGGAGCGAACCCCUAAAAGCAGUCUUAGUUCGGAUUGUAGGCUGCAACCCGCCUACAUGAAGUCGGAAUUGCUAGUAAUCGCAGAUCAGCAUGCUGCGGUGAAUACGUUCCCGGGCCUUGUACACACCGCCCGUCACGCCAUGGGAGUCGGUAACACCCGAAGCCUGUAGUCUAACCGCAAGGAGGACGCAGUCGAAGGUGGGAUUGAUGACUGGGGUG
rnacentral:rRNA from 1 species